rnacentral:rRNA from 1 species
CAGCAGCCGCGGGAAUACAGAGGGUGCGAGCGUUAAUCGGAUUUACUGGGCGUAAAGCGUGCGUAGGCGGCUAAUUGAGUCGGAUGUGAAAUCCCCGAGCUUAACUUGGGAAUUGCAUUCGAUACUGGUUAGCUAGAGUGUGGGAGAGGAUGGUAGAAUUCCAGGUGUAGCGGUGAAAUGCGUAGAGAUCUGGAGGAAUACCGAUGGCGAAGGCAGCCAUCUGGCCUAACACUGACGCUGAGGUACGAAAGCAUGGGGAGCAAACAGGAUUAGAGACCCCUGUAGUCCCUGUCUCUUAUAA